GUUGAAACUUUAUAUAAGUUUAACCGUUGGUGAGUCAUUUACAUGUGACAUUAAAAACUGUACCACCAUGUCCUACUGCACCUCUAAAUGUAUACGAUGAUCUAUAUAAACAUCCAUGAAUUAUAAAGGUUUGGGAAUAUGAAUAGCAAAUAUAGUAGUCUCACCACUGUUCAAAACUUUCAUAUCAUUAACGACCAUGCAUCCAAAAGAGAACAAGAACAAUCAAAUCAAACCAAACCAAAGAUUAUUAGUCAAACUUGUCUUCGUUGUUACGUAUUAGAAACAUGGGAAAACCCCAUGUUUAAUUUACAAAAUAAUAGUUCCAUAUUUGUGAAAAAAAAACAAAAGAAUUGGGAAUUUACAAAAUAAUAGUUCCAUAUUAUGUCAAAAGUACUGAACUUUAGUAGUUAAACGCUGCGUUUUAACAUGUUUGCUUGCUAGACUCUCUCACUUGUUGUCAGAGUUGUGGAUGGACUCAUCAGUUUUGUGCAUGCAUACCUUAUAUAUGAUAUCAAAGGAUCAAACUUUUGUUUGUUUCUUUGUUAAAACGCUGCGUUUUAAGAUGUUGCUAGACUCUCUCUCACUUGUUUUGAUGGUAGUUAUUGUGAGAGUUGUGGAUUGUGUAUAGACUUGUGAUUGGUGCGUUGUUGUGUGUUGGCUUCUUAAGUAGAGUGAGUGAGUGAGAGAGUGAACAUGGACUCGUGUAUCAUGAUGUCAAAAGUAUUGAACUUUGGUAGUUAAACGCUGCGUUUAAGAUUGUUUGCUAGACUCUCUCACUUGAUUUAUCAUAUUACUCAAUAAAGUUCUGAUUCUUAUCAUGUGUUACUCUGUUUAAACUGGCAGAUUGUUCGUGGUACUUUAGCUCUACCACACUCUGUUAAAAAGGUACAAGAAACGCCUCUCUAAUCCCUGAUAGUAAUCAGCUCUUUAUGUGAUAUGAAGAAAUGAUCUUACUUGUUCAGGAUGUGAAAGUGGCUUUCUUUGCCGAGGGUUCUGAUGCAGAGGAUGCAAAGGCUGCAGGAGCUGAUGUCGUCGGUGGUCUUGAAUUUCAUUAGAUCUCUUCUUAACAAGAACACUUUCAUAAGCAGAUGAGCUUUCCUGAGGAUGCUUUGCGAGAGAAUGUUGGUGCAUUUAUGAACGCUCUUUUGCUGGCUAAGCCUGCCGGAUUGAAAAAGACUUCAAAAUAUGCUGGUUAUGUGAAUGCAUUCCACUUGUGCAGUACGAUGGGAAAGGGUUAAUCCUGUAUCGAUACAGUCGUUGUCUAGAGCAGCGGAUCACUAUACCAAAUUGCAGCUCAAGUUAGCAGUAGCCUCAAAAAGGAUAAAGGCUUGUUGGAGAGUACCGAAUUGGAUUUUGUUGUUUGAGAGCAUAUAAAACGAGGGGAGUGUGCACAAUUCUGCUUGAUACAAUCUGUCUCUCAUGUCAUUUCAUAAUAAUAUGAGAAUGUUUUUGCUACUCAUCAAACAUCACUCAUUGAUUCAUUUUUUUGUGUGUCCGUUAUAAAAUAUGAUAUGGAUCUUGCACAUGUUAAGGCCC